UGGGGAAUAUUGCACAAUGGGCGCAAGCCUGAUGCAGCGACGCCGCGUGGGGGAUGACGGCCUUCGGGUUGUAAACUCCUUUCGCUAGGGACGAAGCUUUUUGUGACGGUACCUAGAUAAGAAGCACCGGCUAACUACGUGCCAGCAGCCGCGGUAAUACGUAGGGUGCGAGCGUUGUCCGGAAUUACUGGGCGUAAAGGGCUCGUAGGUGGUUUGUCGCGUCGUCUGUGAAAUUCCGGGGCUUAACUCCGGGCGUGCAGGCGAUACGGGCAUAACUUGAGUACUGUAGGGGUAACUGGAAUUCCUGGUGUAGCGGUGAAAUGCGCAGAUAUCAGGAGGAACACCGAUGGCGAAGGCAGGUUACUGGGCAGUUACUGACGCUGAGGAGCGAAAGCAUGGGUGGCGAACAGG
rnacentral:rRNA from 1 species